AUGGACGAAAGUCUGACGGAGCAACGCCGCGUGAGUGAUGAAGGUUUUCGGAUCGUAAAGCUCUGUUGUUAGGGAAGAACAAGUACCGUUCGAAUAGGGCGGUACCUUGACGGUACCUAACCAGAAAGCCACGGCUAACUACGUGCCAGCAGCCGCGGUAAUACGUAGGUGGCAAGCGUUGUCCGGAAUUAUUGGGCGUAAAGGGCUCGCAGGCGGUUCCUUAAGUCUGAUGUGAAAGCCCCCGGCUCAACCGGGGAGGGUCAUUGGAAACUGGGGAACUUGAGUGCAGAAGAGGAGAGUGGAAUUCCACGUGUAGCGGUGAAAUGCGUAGAGAUGUGGAGGAACACCAGUGGCGAAGGCGACUCUCUGGUCUGUAACUGACGCUGAGGAGCGAAAGCGUGGGGAGCGAACAGGAUUAGAUACCCUGGUAGUCCACGCCGUAAACGAUGAGUGCUAAGUGUUAGGGGGUUUCCGCCCCUUAGUGCUGCAGCUAACGCAUUAAGCACUCCGCCUGGGGAGUACGGUCGCAAGACUGAAACUCAAAGGAAUUGACGGGGGCCCGCACAAGCGGUGGAGCAUGUGGUUUAAUUCGAAGCAACGCGAAGAACCUUACCAGGUCUUGACAUCCUCUGACAAUCCUAGAGAUAGGACGUCCCCUUCGGGGGCAGAGUGACAGGUGGUGCAUGGUUGUCGUCAGCUCGUGUCGUGAGAUGUUGGGUUAAGUCCCGCAACGAGCGCAACCCUUGAUCUUAGUUGCCAGCAUUCAGUUGGGCACUCUAAGGUGACUGCCGGUGACAAAC
rnacentral:rRNA from 1 species